CGUUUCGUUUUUGUGUUAUAUAGACAUUCUGUGGCUUAUUUUCUUGGUACAACAUGCACCCAUGUAACCACAUGAAAUAUGCAACUAUGAGUAGUGUGUUUAACUAUCACUUGUUGAUUUGUGUUUUUAUAUGAAACUACAGUAGCUUACGUAUGGAGCCUACAUAGACUAUAGUUUACUUAUCAUUUUGUUGUUGAUUUUUCCCCAUGCCAUACCUUUGCCGUCAUUUUGUUGAGAGCAAAGUCUUCAUGCUAUCUAAGGGAUAAAAGACCUUGAUUUGUGUCAACAUGACCAAAUGAGAGGUAAUUUUCAUGCAAUUUAUACUUCUUGAUAUGUGUCAAUAUGACCAUGGCAAGAAUAAAAUAUUAAAUAUAAGAUCUAAAACAUGGUGAAAAUACUACUUGACAUGUGUCAAUAUGACCAUGCCAAGACUAAGCUCUCAGAUAUGAUGAAAAUACUACUUGACAUGUGUCAAUAUGACCAUGGCAAGCAUAAAAUAUAAAUUUUGUGGACGGUGGAGACUACUUGGCAUGUGUCAAUAUGACCAAGCCAAGAGCAAAGAUCAUGCUACUUGGAGAAAAAGUUCUUGAUCUGUGUCAAUGUGACCAAAUCAGCAACCAUGAUAUAGAGAAAAAUUACUUGGCUCAUAUCAAUAUGACCAAGCCAAGAACAGAAAUUGGGCAGCAUGGAGAUAAUUUCAUGAUCUGUGUCAACAUGACCAAAUCAAGAAUUAUUAUAUGAGGAGAUGUCACUUGGCUCAUGUCAAUAUGACCAAACCAAGAGCAAAAAUUAGUCAACACAGGGAUGAAUUCUUGAUCUGUGUCCACAUGACCAAAUCAAGAAUAGAGAUUGGAAAAACAUAGACAAGUUUACCUGUAGGAGAAGCCGAGGGAUUAGGAGAGACCCAUCUAUCUCACCUUCUUGCUGAACUCCUCCAAAUCUUCUUUCCACCGAUGUAUGUGCGUGGGAUUUUUGUGGCAAAAUCUGUAUACAGCAGUGUUUCUAUGCAGCAGGGAUGGAAUGAUCAACCAAGUAGCAGCGGCAGCGCCCGGACGAAGGCUGAAGGCAGCGGAAGACAAAAGCAGUGGAUAACUAGCAGGCGAGCACCAGCAGUCGAACCACCAGCAAUCGAGCACCAC
rnacentral:lncRNA from 1 species